AUUCCAGCUCCAAUAGCGUAUAUUAAAGUUGUUGCAGUUAAAAAGCUCGUAGUUGGAUUUCUGGCGGGGACCCAAGUACCCCUGGUGGGUGUGCUCGGGCCCGGCCAUCCUUCUGUAAACUUUCGCGCGUCCUUCACCGGUCGGCAAAGGGAUCAGAUAAUUUACCUUGAGAAAAUUAGAGUGUUUCAGGCAGGCUUAGCCGGAAUACAUUAGCAUGGAAUAAUGGAAUAGGACUGAGGUCUCGUUGUUGGUUACGCGGACUACAGUAAUGAUUAAUAGGGACAGUUGGGGGCAUUAGUAUUUAAUAGCUAGAGGUGGAAUUCUCUAAUUUGUUAAAGACUAACUUAUGCGAAAGCAUUUGCCAAGGACGUUUCAUCG
rnacentral:rRNA from 1 species